UACGAAGGGGGCUAGCGUUGCUCGGAUUGACUGGGCGUAAAGGGUGCGUAGGCGGGUCUUUAAGUCAGGGGUGAAAUCCUGGAGCUCAACUCCAGAACUGCCUUUGAUACUGAAGAUCUUGAGUUCGGGAGAGGUGAGUGGAACUGCGAGUGUAGAGGUGAAAUUCGUAGAUAUUCGCAAGAACACCAGUGGCGAAGGCGGCUCACUGGCCCGAUACUGACGCUGAGGCACGAAAGCGUGGGGAGCAAACAGG
rnacentral:rRNA from 1 species